CAACGGCCCAAGCCCAGCUGGCCUCUCUGGCUUCGGGCCUUCCCUCGCCCGGUUCUAGGCGGUCGGCACCAAACAGGCCCCGCCGGGGGUGCACACCGCCCGGGACUGCGGGGCUCGCUCGGCCUCGGCCCGCGGGGAGCUUCGGCGACCAGGCCUGCCAGCCGCCAUCCCUGCCCCGUUGGGUCCACGGGGGCAGAACCUGCUCAAAGCCAGGGGCUGGAGCAACCCUGACCCACCAUGGCGGGCAGGCGGCUUGCAGGGAGCGCCAGAGACCAACAAUUGUCAGCAUAGCAACACCGGGCCUUUCUCUUCUAGUUGAGCCCUGCAGCUGUCUACGCGGCUGUCUGUGAGUGAUCUCCCAGGGACAAGGACAAGAGAUGCAUUUCAGUGGAACUUCUCCAGGCCAGUGUGCUGACUUCUGACCAGCCUCAUCUGAAAGCACACCCUUUACAGACACAGACACCCUGAGGUACUGGGCCUCCAGCUUGCUCUAGGAGGACAGAGGACGACGGGUUAAGUUUGUUUGACAUAACUAGAAGGGGCUGUGCCUCUUCCCAGAAGAGCAAGGCCCAUUCAUGGCGAUUAGCAAGGCCCACCACUUCUAGCUGGCUUUUGCUUAUAGCAGCUGAGACACUGUUUCUUUCAGUAGAGGGAAAUCAAUGGGCUGGUGAUCCAACACUUCGGACUCCAAAGAAACCAGGACAGGUGACAAAGGUGCCCCAGGGUGAGACUCCUGCUUGCUGUGCCCAUGCCGGAGCUACGUCUUCUCUGAAAGCCAGCAGCAAAAGUGCUGACAUUUCGAUAUUUCCUUGUUGGUGUUCACUACUCCACAUCAAAGGGGGAACUCUGUCUGGGCAGGCCCCAGGCAUUCUGAGUGAAGAUGAGAGCAGAAGUGUCUAAAAGUGUAUGGUGGUGUCCCAUGAGACUGCAACAGAUGUGCUCUGACUGAGAUCACCCCAGCUGCUCUGAAUAAUGGUAGGAACAGAAAUAUCCAGAGCACAGGUAUGGAGCUGCCUUCUCCCAUUGUACCCCCCAGGUUCUGGACUGUGCCCAGGUGCUCUGACAGCAGCAUUUCCAAUCGCAGACAUGGUGCUAGCCUCUCAGACCGCGGCAGAUGUGCUUUGGCCAGGUGAACAGUAGGUGUCUGAUGGGAGGCAGGAACGGAAGUAUCUCCUGGCAUACCUUUUCUUCUCAGUGGCGCAGGUUUUACCAUAGUAACAGGUUUCCUCUGAGUAGGUGGGCCCCAAGUGCUCAGACCAGAUACAGGAAGACUCCAAAUGCAGUUGUGGUGUUGGCCCUUCCCGUCACAAAACACGUGCUCUCUUUAGCUAGGACCCAGGAGCUCUGACUGUAGGUAGGAACACAAAGGCCUCCAAGCACAGGUGAGAUGCUGGCUCCUUCAACUGCCACAAACUGUAGGCACAAAAAGAAGUAUCUCCAGCAUGGGGAUGGUGCUGUCCUCUUAAUUGAAACAGAUGUUCUCUGGCUGGACAGGUCCCAGGUGAUCACAAGGAGGAACAGAGUAUACAGCACAUGUUCCUUCUCAGUGAUGCUGUUUCCUCCAGUGGUAGUAGGUAUGUUUUGGCUGGACUGGCUCUAGGUUCUCUCAUUAUAUGUGGGAAGGAAAGUGUUUCCUAGGACAGAUUUGCUCUCAGUAAUGCUGGCUCUCCGAUUUUAACAGGGAUACAAAAGGUUGACAGGACCCUGGUGCUCAGGUCUGAGUCUCCCCCAACAUGAGCCAUGGUUCUGGGUGUCCCACUUGUCCUUGCUCCAAAGCUGAGUGUUCAAGACAUGGUGCUGGGGCCUCAGACAUACACAAUGACCUCAAAGCUGCCACUACCCGUAAGGGCUGAAAAUCUCAUAAAUCCAAAUGGGUCUGGUGUGGUGUUGGCAAAAGAUGAGCAGGAGUCCUCAGUGCUAUGCCUGCUGGUGGAUGAGCCAAUAGGGAAACAGCUGAAGUGCCACCAAAGGCUGCCUGGGUGCUGACAGUGAUGCCAAAGUUGGAAGAUGGGAAUGUCAAACUCCCAAAAGGUGACUGAGUUGUGCUCCUAUUGGGUUCCAUGGCUGCAGGAUAGGUUAAGUGUGGAGAUUUUGCUUGGGCUGCCAGGUUUCCCAAAGGGAAAGAGUUGUCAAAGCUGUCAAGAGGAGGCAGGAAGAUAACAGACUAGGAAUUGAACAUGGUACCCACCUAGAUUUCACUGGAGUCAAAGGCAGGCUUGGAUGCCGAGUCUGAAGAGGGGCUGGUUAUUGGAGUGAGGUGACUGCAGAAUCAGUGGUCGCUGGGCCAGAAAUGACAGUGGCAUGGGGGAGAGUGUCUCCCUAUCGCUGCCAACAUAGGCUCCUGAAUUUCAGCUGAAGGGUGGUUCCUGCCCCAAAGGGAAGGUUGAAAGUUCAGGUACAGCUGCUGACCAUAAAAGCAGGUGGGCUGGUGACAACUGCGACCUUUGCGGGGGAUAUCUGCUGCACGUUGCGGGUGCUUGGUCAAAUGGGAGGGAGCUCACGUGGGAUCCUGGUGGAGACCUGAAGAUGGAAGCCCGGGAAGGCAGGGCGGUGUUGAUAUCAGUUGUAGCAAAGUCCACAGCACCCCAGGAGGUCCAAUCUGAAGAUGGGCAGACUGGGAUGGUGGAAGUGAUUGCAGAGGCAGUGAUGGGCUGGCUGGUGAAGAUAGGGAUACUGGUGAAAGGGACUUGAGGAGUCUGUGAGAAAAAGGGAGGAAAAUCCACAUACACAGGUGUAGGUGACUCAAUUCUACAGUAGGUAGGCUGUAAGGGGAGGGAUGGGUGCUGGGAGGUUAAGAGAAGUAGAAGAUCCUGCAGCGGUGACCAAGGGACUGGAAUGCAAAGGGCCUCUCUUCUCAUUAUUAAGGGGAGCUCCCAAUAUGGGUUGGAAUCUAAAGUGACAAACAGCAGGAAUAGCAAAAGAAGGAGAGUUAGAGAUUGCACUUCUCAUCUUAUGAUCAGCAUCUGGUGUGGGGGAUGGAUGGGUACAGGGGCAGACAGGAUUGGUGGCCCAACAGACGGGUCAGGCAAAUCAGUGACUGCUAAUUUGAUAGCAUCCAGAAUCUGCAAGGGGGAAGUGGCCAAUGGCAAUGUAACUGCAGUCCCCAAAACAAACAGGGAGAAAAAACAGGCAGGCUGGGCGGAACUGAUGUUGGAAGUGCCUCAGUUUUCUCCUCCAACCUUGUGGUUCCAUUGGCUCAGUGUUCUUCUCCAAGCCGAGGUCUCCAGCAAUGACCAUAUAAGAAAGAUGGGAGGUGGGGGCAGCUCACCUUGACCCCACAACAGUGGCAGUGGCAGCAGUAGUGGCAGCAAUAGUGGCAUUGAAAAUUUCCAUUUACAGAGCCUGCAACUGAC
rnacentral:lncRNA from 1 species